UAAAUACUCCCUCCGUCCGAAAAUACUUGUCAUUGAAAUGGAUGUUUCUAGAUGUAUUUUAGUUCUAGACACAUCCAUUUUGAUGACAAAUAAUUCCGGACGGAGGGAGUAGCAG
rnacentral:pre_miRNA from 1 species